rnacentral:rRNA from 1 species
UGCAGUCGAAGCUUCUUUUUCCACCGGAGCUUGCUCCACCGGAAAAAGAAGAGUGGCGAACGGGUGAGUAACACGUGGGUAACCUGCCCAUCAGAAGGGGAUAACACUUGGAAACAGGUGCUAAUACCGUAUAGCAAUCAAAACCGCAUGGUUUUGAUUUGAAAGGCGCUUUCGGGUGUCGCUGAUGGAUGGACCCGCGGUGCAUUAGCUAGUUGGUGAGGUAACGGCUCACCAAGGCCACGAUGCAUAGCCGACCUGAGAGGGUGAUCGGCCACAUUGGGACUGAGACACGGCCCAAACUCCUACGGGAGGCAGCAGUAGGGAAUCUUCGGCAAUGGACGAAAGUCUGACCGAGCAACGCCGCGUGAGUGAAGAAGGUUUUCGGAUCGUAAAACUCUGUUGUUAGAGAAGAACAAGGAUGAGAGUAACUGUUCAUCCCUUGACGGUAUCUAACCAGAAAGCCACGGCUAACUACGUGCCAGCAGCCGCGGUAAUACGUAGGUGGCAAGCGUUGUCCGGAUUUAUUGGGCGUAAAGCGAGCGCAGGCGGUUUCUUAAGUCUGAUGUGAAAGCCCCCGGCUCAACCGGGGAGGGUCAUUGGAAACUGGGAGACUUGAGUGCAGAAGAGGAGAGUGGAAUUCCAUGUGUAGCGGUGAAUGCGUAGAUAUAUGGAGGAACCCAGUGGCGAGGCGGCUCUCUGGCUGUAACUGACGCUGAGCUCGAAGCGUG